UUUCCGCCUCCUUCAUCAUCAUCAUCUUCUCCUUUUUCUCUCCCUUCCCUUUCUCACUCAUCUCUCUCUCUCCACGCUCUCUUCCACUUCCCCUGUCACCCACGUUAUCCGCUCCUCUCCACUUCCCCUUGUCCCCCACGCCGCUGACUCAUACGCUCCCCUCUCCUCUUUCUUAAACCCUAAUCACAACCUUAUAAAAGGAUGGGAAAAUCACAGUGUUAGGGAUCCGAACAUGAGAAGAGGAUUUGGAACCCAGAAAAUCCCUUACAAAACAUCAAUUUUGAUCAAUGAUAUAGCCACAUAUUACUCUAUUUUUUACUUUCGAAUCCGAAGCCUUAAUUACUUUAAUCGUUUUUUGAGUUCGAGUAGAUUCGAGGACACUCAACAUUUUCCUAUCUCUUUGACUACUACUUUAAAUCUGGAAUUUGCUCGAAUUUUGUUCUGUUUCAGUUCUUUGGCAGCCACUUUAACCAUUCCUAAUUAUUUUACAUUUUUCAGUCACUAUACUUGGGAACACCCAUUUGAAAAUUAAGUCGUUUUACUCUUUCGGUUUGUUACUUUAAGAUCGAGUGUAGAUCGGAGACUCGACGCCCCGUUCACUGCACCUACAAAAGGUCGGUGCAAUCCCUCUCUUCCUCCCUUUUUAGUUCGAUUUGAUUUUGAUGUGUAUUCGUGAUUCCUUAUUUGUGUAUGUACAAUGCUUUUAGUUUAUUACGUAAUCUUCUCAUCUUAAGUAUUUUAUGUUUAGUUCAAUCCUCAUUUCAUGUAGAUUAGAGUAGCUUUUUUUUUUUUUUAGUUUUAUCAGAAUUAGAUAAGUAAUUUUCUUCCUCGUAUUAGUAUUUUUAGUUUUCGUGUGCUUCCGACUUCGUGUGUAUUAGUUUAAUUUCCAUGUUGUUAAGAGUUAGAUAAAUACUUUUAUUCUCUGUCUUAGCAACUCUUGCAGUUCUAUGUAUUUUCCCCUUUUGUGUAGAAUGGCUUAAUCUUGAUAAAGUAUAUGUUAGAACCAUGAGGUCUGCUGAUUACAUUGUAAAUGGUUGUUGAACCUGUUAUAUUUGUUGUAGUGUUUCCAUGUGGCAGAAAUCGCAUUUUUGUGAUGCUCUAUUCCUUAGACUAUCUAAUUUAGGAUAUGGAGUGUUCGUGGGUAAAUAUUAAAUAUUGAGCUUUAUAUAUUGGAAAUAUUCUUGUUCAACUCUCUAUUGCAUAGAGAAUAAUAUAAACCCAUGUUAAGAGUUUGUUAUAACUAAAACUCAAUGACCAACUCUUUGUCCUGAUUUAUUCUCUGUUUUAUGCCAUCAGUAGAUACCAUGUUUUAGAAUCUUUUCUGUUUAUUUUCUUGAAUUUGAAAUAUUGCCUUCGAUGUCAUAACCACAACCAAGUGAUUAGUGAUGAAAGCAUGUUUUGAGCAUCAACUUUACAAAUCACUAUGGCUUUGAAAGAGAAUCUUAGUGUCAAGUAGACAUCAUUCAGAGAGAUCUUUGUGUUUAAUCCAGUUUAAGAAGUAACUUUAGUCUAAAUGCUGCUGCGUAUAUUUAAAGUUUUCAACUUAAUGAAAUAUUUUGUUUUGGACUUAGUUUUGUACACAUUGGAGCUCCCAAAAACAGACCAUCUAAUGUAGAAACGUAUUUAAGCUAUUUACUCUUGGAUCUGUAUGUGUAGCCUAUAAAAAAUACUAUGUGUAUUUGAUUUCUUAUGGUGAAACUUUAAGUAUAUUUGUGUCAAGUUCAUGGGGUUAAGCUUGAUAAGUUGGAAAAGCCGCAAGGUUCUGGUUUCAUUGUCGAGUAUUUUCGCCGCUUGAAUGUUUUUCAUUCUUUUAGUUAUAGCAUGACAGAUUCCAUGACUGGUGAGAACAUAGUAAAAUGAGGGAUAUAUGGGUUGAAAUGGAAAGAAUAGUGUCAUGUAUGUUUCCAUCAUUAUUAAACAGCAGAGCAUCUCUAAUUCCUAUUACUUUUCUUUGUUUGCAUGUACACCGGAGUCGAAGAGUCUUACUUUAAGACUCGACGUCGCCACAAGGCUUGAAACGUACACCUACAUCUCCUCCAGACCCUUCGCUCACCCAAAUACAUCCGGGCAGAAUUUAUGAGGGGCCAGAAAUGGCGAACGUUCUAUCACAAUAUUCCUUUACUCACCGGCUAUGAAUAUUAUGUUCUGCCUCAGUUGCUUUGCAGUUUGUUUUUGUUUAGUUAACGUCUACUUUGAUGACUUGUCGUAUGUCUUGACCCUUUUUUUUCAUUCUCUGUUUCAGAUACAUGGUCCGGGUAAUUAGUAUAAUCUAGUUGCCGAUAUUUCGCUUAAUUAAGAAA